GAUGAACGCUGGCGGCGUGCCUAACACAUGCAAGUCGAACGAAGCACCUUACCUGAUUCUUCGGAUGAAAGUUUGGUGACUGAGUGGCGGACGGGUGAGUAACGCGUGGGUAACCUGCCCUGUACAGGGGGAUAACAGCUGGAAACGGCUGCUAAUACCGCAUAAGCGCACGAGGAGACAUCUCCUUGUGUGAAAAACUCCGGUGGUACAGGAUGGGCCCGCGUCUGAUUAGCUGGCUGGCAGGGUAACGGCCUACCAAGGCAACGAUCAGUAGCCGGUCUGAGAGGAUGAACGGCCACAUUGGAACUGAGACACGGUCCAAACUCCUACGGGAGGCAGCAGUGGGGAAUAUUGCACAAUGGGGGAAACCCUGAUGCAGCAACGCCGCGUGAGUGAAGAAGUAUUUCGGUAUGUAAAGCUCUAUCAGCAGGGAAGAUAAUGACGGUACCUGACUAAGAAGCUCCGGCUAAAUACGUG
rnacentral:rRNA from 1 species